AGAGUUUGAUCCUGGCUCAGGAUGAACGCUAGCGGCAGGCUUAACACAUGCAAGUCGAGGGGCAGCACGGGUAGCAAUACCUGGUGGCGACCGGCGCAAGGGUGCGUAACGCGUGAGCAACAUGCCCUAUACAGGGGGAUAAUCCAGGGAAACUUGGUCUAAUAUCCCAUAGUAUUUAGAGGAGGCAUCUUCUAUAAAUUAAAGCUUCGGUGGUAUAGGAUUGGCUCGCGUGACAUUAGCUAGAUGGUGAGGUAACGGCUCACCAUGGCAAUGAUGUCUAGGGGUUCUGAGAGGAAGGCCCCCCACACUGGGACUGAGACACGGCCCAGACUCCUACGGGAGGCAGCAGUGAGGAAUAUUGGACAAUGGAUGGAAAUCUGAUCCAGCCAUGCCGCGUGCAGGAAGACAGCCCUAUGGGUUGUAAACUGCUUUUAUAUGGGAGCAAUAAGGUCUACGUGUAGACUGAUGAGAGUACCAUAUGAAUAAGCAUCGGCUAACUCCGUGCCAGCAGCCGCGGUAAUACGGAGGAUGCGAGCGUUAUCCGGAUUUAUUGGGUUUAAAGGGUGCGUAGGCGGCCGAGUAAGUCAGCGGUGAAAUUUUGCAGCUUAACUGUAACAGUGCCGUUGAUACUGCAUGGCUAGGAUUUGGUUGCUGUGGGUGGAAUGUGUGGUGUAGCGGUGAAAUGCUUAGAUAUCACACAGAAUAUCAAUUGCGAAGGCAGCUCACAAAGCCAAGAUUGACGCUGAGGCACGAAAGUGUGGGGAUCAAACAGGAUUAGAUACCCUGGUAGUCCACACUGUAAACGAUGAUAACUCACUGCCGGCGAUACACAGUCGGUGGCCAAGCGAAAGCGAUAAGUUAUCCACCUGGGGAGUACGACCGCAAGGUUGAAACUCAAAGGAAUUGACGGGGGCCCGCACAAGCGGAGGAACAU
rnacentral:rRNA from 1 species